rnacentral:lncRNA from 1 species
UUCCGUGGAAGGGACCGAAACAGUCACAUCUCCAACCACUGGCAAAGUAAAUGGCGUACGCACACCCCCACCCCAUAUCGACCUACUAACGGAUGGCGUCAUACAUGCGCUCCACUCAACCCUUGACGCUGUUGCGCCACUAAAAAAGAGAAUAAGAAAACUGAAAAGACUGGCCCCAUGGUAUACUGAUCAGACUCGUGCACUUAAACAAACCACACGAAAACUAGAAAAAAAAUGGUACUCCACCAAACUUGAGGUAUUCCACCUGGCAUGGAAGGAUAGUCUUCUAAGCUAUAAACGAGUACUUUCUGAGGCGAAAUCGGCUUACUAUUCUUCAUUGAUUGAUAAUAAUAAAAGCAACCCAAAGUUCCUAUUUAACACCAUUUCUAGGCUAACAAAAAACCACAAUACAAUCGAACAUUCUGUUCCCAUAAGCUUUAGCGGUAAUGAUUUCAUGACCUUUUUCAAUAACAAAAUUCUAACAAUAAGAGAACAAAUUCAUAGUCUCCUCCCCCUCUAUGACCUUACACCUCUUCCAAAAUGCCCUAUGGCAACACCCCCUCAACCUGGUGCUCUCCUUGAAUCCUUCGCACGCAUUGACCUCCCUGAACUAAACUCCCUGAUCCUCUCAUCUAAAUCAUCGAUGUGUCUACUAGACCCUAUCCCCACAAAACUUCUUAAACAUGCAUUACCCUUAUCAAGUGAGACAUUACUUAAUGUAAUGAAUAAUUCACUAAUUUCAGGAUACCCAAAUCAUUCAAAAUAGCAGUGAUCAAACCAUCUCUCAAAAAACCUAACCUUGAUCCUGAUAAUCUAGCUAACUAUAGACCCAUAUCUAACCUCCCUUUCUUGUCAAAAAUACUUGAAAAUAUAGUAGCUAAGCAACUUACUUCCUUUCUACACCAAAACAAAAUCGAAGAAACCCUCCAAUCUGGCUUUAGAGCCCACCACAGCACUGAAACGGCCUUAGUCAAAGUCCUGAAUGACCUACUAAUCGCAUCCGAUCAUGGGUGCACCUCAAUACUAGUUCUCCUAGACCUUAGUGCCGCUUUCGACACUAUAGAUCAUCAUAUCCUAUUACAAAGACUUGAACAUCCUGUUGGCAU